UAGUAAACAAACCGUAAGCGGACGAAUUUACCAUAUCUCUGCACAGAAAUAGACGAUUGCAGUCAAAAUGAAGUCUUCGGCAUGAAUUACGAAAGACGAUGGUGUUGAAACCCCAAAAUUAUGUCUAUGGUGCCUGAUGCUUCGAAGGCUCUAAUGCGCGACGAUUCCGGGCAAUAUAAACUUCAAAAAAUCUUCGAUUUUACACGUCUACAGAUUUGUGCACGACGUGCGAAAGGCGUUUGAAAAAAGAUGGAUCGGUUUCGCUGGCGAUGCAAUGAAAAGAAUGAUAUGGUCGAUAGAUUUAUCAAAUAGCAGAACACAGCGAAGAACGGCGCAGAUAUCAGUAAAGACCAUCUGUCGCUCUUCACAACGCUCGCUCAUAAGUUCUUGGGCACAGUUCCUGAUAGAUGUGUUUGGAGCGAUUCCGGACCACAUUUACUCUUUUGUCUUAGAUUGAAGUUGCAUGUGUUUAUUUGUUCCCUUGAUUUCUCCGUUGCCACGCCGUUGCGUUCUUUAGGUAAUGAUAAAAACUUGAAAUCAAUAUAAAUAUGUAGAACUAGCUGUUCCCGGCGUGCGUCGCCACUCCUCAUUUAUUGAUUAUCCGGCGCU